rnacentral:rRNA from 1 species
GAGAUAGCUGGUUCUCCCCGAAAUAGCUUUAGGGCUAGCCUCAUAUUAGAUACCCGGAGGUAAAGCACUGAAUGGCCUAGCGCCCGAGAGGGUAGCGAAGCCUAUCAAACUAAGAAUGCCGGAGUAUUGAUGUAUGGGAGUCAGACAGUGUGAGAUAAAUCUCAUUGUCAAAAGGGAAACAGCCCAGAUCUACAGCUAAGGUCCCAAAUUGUAUCUAAGUGGAAAACGAUGUGGAAAUACGCAGACAACCAGGAUGUUGGCUCAGAAGCAGCCACUCAUUUAAAGAGUGCGUAAUAGCUCACUGGUCGAGCGUCUCUGCGCGGAAAAUUUAACGGGGCUAAGAUACAAACCGAAGCUUAGGCUGCAACGUAAGUUGCGGGGUAGGGGAGCGUUGUGUAAGCGGAGAAACAGUAGCGUAAGCGGCUGUGGAGUUUACAGAAGUGAGAAUGCCGGAAUGAGUAGCGCGAAUGUGGUGAGAAUCCACAUGGCCGGAAACCUCAGGUUUUUGGAGGAAGGUUCGUCCGCUCCAAGUUAGGCGGGAGCUAAGGUCAGGCCGAAAGGCGUAGCCGAUGCACAGACGGUAGAGAUUCCGUCCCCACCGAAAGAUUUAAGCACAGGGACACUUUUUGAAGGUCGGAGCCAGGUGUUGGUUCUGGUAGUGAUCGAGGGAAAUUAGUACCGAAGUCCGGCUGGAGAAGAUGGCGAGAAAAGCUGUGUGUAUAUCUAAGGUGCCCGUACCGCAAACCGACACAGGUAGGUAGGAAGAAGAUUCUAAGGCCAACGGGAGAAGGGUUGUUAAGGAACUCGGCAAGUUGACCCCGUAACUUCGGAAUAAGGGGUGCUCACGAGAGUGAGCCGCAGAGAAUAGGCCCAGGCAACUGUUUACCAAAAACACAGGUUUGUGCUAAAUCGAAAGAUGACGUAUACGAGCUGACGCCUGCCCGGUGCUGGAAGGUUAAGAGGAGAUGUGCAAGCAUUGAAUCGAAGCCCCAGUGAACGGCGGCCGUAACUAUAACGGUCCUAAGGUAGCGAAAUUCCUUGUCAGGUAAGUUCUGACCCGCAUGAAAGGCGUAAUGAUCUGGGCACUGUCUCAACAGCCCGCCCGGCGAAAUUGUAGUACCGGUGAAGAUGCCGGUUACCCGCGACAAGACGGAAAGACCCCAUGGAGCUUUACUGUAGCCUGAUAUUGGGUUUCGGUGUUGCAUGCACAGGAUAGAUGGGACGCUAGGAAAGAAGCGCUUUGGCGUUUCUGGAGCGGACGUUGGGAUACCAUCCUUGCGACAUUGGAAUUCUAACCUGCGCCUCUGAAUCGAGGCGGGGGACAUUGUCAGGUGGGCAGUUUGACUGGGGCGGUCGCCUCCUAAAAAGUAGCGGAGGCGUUCAAAGGUUCGUUCGAUCUGGAACGGAAACCAGAUGAUUGAGUGCAAACGCAUAAACGAGCCUGACUGCGAGACUGACGGGUCGAGCAGAGACGAAAGUCGGAGUUAGUGAUCCGGUGGUAUGUGAGUGGAAAUGCCAUCGCU